ACAUACGACCACAGCCGCUAGCAGAGCUUAGGAUCCCGUCCGAUCUCCCUUAAUAACCUGGCGAGCGCUGGAUUAGUAGUUGGGUCGGUGACGACCAGCGAAUUCCCAGUGUUGUAUGUU
rfam:Pochonia chlamydosporia 170 chromosome 5, whole genome shotgun sequence.